GGUCUCAUAGCUCAGUUGGUUAGAGCACCUGACUCAUAAUCAGGUAGUCGCUGGUUCAAAUCCAGCUGAGACCACAA
rnacentral:tRNA from 15 species